rnacentral:rRNA from 1 species
CGCGUAGGCGGGGAUACAAGUCAGGUGUGAAAUCUAUGGGCUUAACCCAUAAACUGCACUUGAAACUGUAUCUCUUGAGUGUCGGAGAGGUAGACGGAAUUCCUAGUGUAGCGGUGAAAUACGUAGAUAUUAGGAGGAACACCAGUGGCGAAGGCGGUCUACUGGACGAUAACUGACGCUGAGGCGCGAAAGCGUGGGGAGCAAACA